AUUGAACGCUGGCGGCAUGCCUUACACAUGCAAGUCGAACGGCAGCGCGGGAGCAAUCCUGGCGGCGAGUGGCGAACGGGUGAGUAAUAUAUCGGAACGUGCCCAGUAGUGGGGGAUAGCCCGGCGAAAGCCGGAUUAAUACCGCAUACGACCUACGGGUGAAAGGGGGGGAUCGCAAGACCUCUCGCUAUUGGAGCGGCCGAUAUCAGAUUAGGUAGUUGGUGGGGUAAAGGCCUACCAAGCCUGCGAUCUGUAGCUGGUCUGAGAGGACGACCAGCCACACUGGGACUGAGACACGGCCCAGACUCCUACGGGAGGCAGCAGUGGGGAAUUUUGGACAAUGGGCGCAAGCCUGAUCCAGCAAUGCCGCGUGCAGGAGGAAGGCCUUCGGGUUGUAAACUGCUUUUGUCAGGGAAGAAAUCCUCUGGGUUAAUACCUCGGGGGGAUGACGGUACCUGAAGAAUAAGCACCGGCUAACCACGUGCCAGCCGCCGCGGUAAAAC
rnacentral:rRNA from 1 species